rnacentral:lncRNA from 13 species
AUGUAUCAAAAUGAAAUGAGCCGAGGACAAAGCUCUCCGUAUGUGAUCACACUGGCUGUAUAUCUACAAAACUACAGCUCCCACCUGUGUUGGAUUAAUAGCAAGCAGGGUUUGCAAGCAACACUUUUAUUUCGAAGAAUAUUCACCUGUUCUGGUAUAAACAGGAUGAGCAGUCAUUUCUAUUUAAUGCUAUUUGUUUUCAUUCUCACAGUGCAAGCUGAAAAUGGAGACCUGCAAGGUUAUCCCUAUUCGUCACCGCCAGCAGCAGCAGAAGUUCCAGUCUCAAUAGAGUCUGUGUCUAAAGAGCACAACAACAAAGGUCAUGGUGGAGCAGUAACAAUGCCCACAGAGAAUAGCCACCUCCAGACUGUGGCUGUAAGUGCAUCCCCAGGGACAGAUUUGUUCCAUACGCCACAUGAAAGGCACAAUUUCACGAACGCCACAACUGCUGAAGAUGCAAUUGCUGCUUCAUCAACUGGAGGCUUUGUUUGGAAAGAGGGCUCCGAUUUACCUAUGCCAGCUGAGGCCACUGAAGCAAAUCUCACAUUGAUCUCUAAUUAUGAAGCUGGAUUUGAAUCGAUGAAGAAUGGCACCGUGAUGCCUGUGGCUCAUUUGUCCAAAGGCGUGGAGGAAGAGAAAGAGAAAGCAUCAGAAUUGCCGCUUCACUCUCUACUUGUUAACAGGAAUCCAAGAAUCGCUGAGUCUAUCACUGUUAUGUCCACACGACGGAGGCUGGGAGUACCUAUGGUGACUGCCACUCGUCCUCACAUAAUUGAUAACUGGGCCAGGUCAAAUGACAAUGAGGAAAAACGAGGCCAAGACGCAGAUGAAAAUGGGAUUUUGGAAUUGGAAAGAAACAAGUAUCCAUUGAGUGAGUCAGAAUCCAUCUUGCAUGACAGAAAGGAAGUUUCUUUGACUACGGAGCGCGUGAUGACAAACAUGUGUUUGAAUUGCCUGCAAGAAAAAAGGCCAUCGUCAACAGAAAAAAUGGCUGUUCUGUCUGCGUUUUUCGACCGAGGCAGCUCACUCAGUCUUGGAGGAAAUGGAAAUAUGCUUACUGUAAACUCCAGUCACCACAAGGCCUCAAUGCCGAGCUCAUUUGAAGCGACAACAAAGAAACAAGAGGACAGAACAGUAGUAUUUGAUGGUGCCAAAACAUCCAGAAAGAGCACAUUUGAUUUCUCUGUAAAUCUUUUGGAUGGGCUAGAUUACGAGCUCAUACCACCCCUUUCCUCAUUAAACUCUGAAAUGAAUCUCAGUAAAACCAUGUUGAAUGAUUCAUUUGCUAGUACAUCUUUCUCAAACUCGGGAACGAUUGAAGUCAAGGCAAACACAACCAGAACAGUGUUUCUUACUUCAAAGGUGGAAAAUAUGACAGUUUCCAGAUUGAGUGAUAUUAGCAAAUCUUUUGAUAAAAGGUUGUUAUCAACAACCAGCAUGCCUUAUCCUUCAACUUCAGAGAUCUUUCACACUUUAUUAUUAUCAUUGAGAGAUAAAGAAGAAAAGAUAUCUGGGAAGACUGUGAAUCUCAGAAACCAGUCAAAAUUGGUUUCUCAAAUCCAAGAUAAUUCAUCUGUAAAACUACAAAACAUAUCCUCCAGUUCACUUCAUAGUUUUCUUGGCAAUCACACAUUGGCGGGUGUUGACAUUACAAAUAAGGACACAGAGUUUAGUUUAGAAGAUGGGGGAGGGGAAGAGCGGGAGCAUGCUGUUGGGCAAGUUAUGACAAUUCCUCUCACCAAUGCUCCAUCUCCUUCUGUCCAUGUUCUCUCUGACCAGAACAUUGAAAACAGUGGGAUUAAUGACUCCAACAGUGGGGUUAAUGACCCCAUCAGUGGGGCUAAUGACCCCAACAAUGGAUCAAUGAUAAGUGGUAUGCUAGACUCGUUUAAUUCUCUCUUUAGCCAAGCUCGUGAAAUAAUCACAUCAAAAAGCCACACCACUGACCACAUUGACGAAUCAGCCUUGCCUAUGAGAAUGCCAUCAAUCGAAAGCCAAAGUGCAACAACAUCCUUCCGCUCUACGAGGCAGACCACGGCAGCUGUCAAAGUUCCUCCUGCCUCUCAGGCUCUGACAGGGAGUGCGAAAUCUUUGAUGUCUGUGUUGAGUACCACUGGCCACCUGCCAGCACAGCCCAGUGUUCUGUUCAAAGAGCAGCAGCCUAUGAGCCUCCUGCCAGAAGUCCCUAACAUGCAACGUGCAUCUGUAACUAUGAUGAGAACAUUGUCCAAAAAGCCAUAUUCUAAGAGUGCCGACAAUGCAAACGAUAUCGAUAAACGGACUGCGCCUCCAGUUGUUUUGUCACAGACAGUGAAGCAAAGUGCUAAAGUAAAUGCUCAGUUGCCCAGAACAACAGAGAAAGGACUCACGUUUUCCGCAAAGCGUAUUUCUGAAACCACAAGUAAGUUAGACAUUUAUGUGUCCGCCAUGAUGACGACAACAACACACGUUGAUGUGAAAAGGUCAACCGAACAAAGACUUGCCGUAGGUCGCGGUGACAUCAAGUCGAGUGGUGACACCUUUCGAAUCUCUGCAGACGGUGCUGGGAACCUUGAACCACCUAAAGAAUUGAAAAAUGUGAACAUGCCAAAGCUGAAAAACAACAGAGGACAGGAGUCUGACUUCUCUCAGCCUCAAGGUUCUCUUGAGGAGGUGACAGAAAUGACAAUGGACAAGAGCAGCACUGUUCACCAUGGGAUAAUGAAAACCACAGAAAGGCUGGCUGGAGAGGAAAAACGCACUUCUCCAAACAUGUCUCCCUCCCAUCUUUUAAUGAAACUGUUGGGAGAAACGGCAAGAGACAUUCAUCGGGCUGAAAAUCUCUCUGAAUCGCUGGAAGAAGAAAAUAAGUCAUUCUCCAGCCAAGCGCCAAGUCAUAAAAUGCCAGUGCAGACUGUGAUAACCCCAAGCCAGACACUAUCCCGAAUGGUAUCUUUUAAUAAGAAGCCACAUAUUGUGUCUAAACCACAGCAAUUCUCUACCCAUAGGGUCACGCUUACAAAAUAUGCCGAUGCGUCGACAAAACAUAAGCAAAGCAAUCAGCAAAGGCACUCAACAAAAGGUAAAAAACAAGUAUCUAUGACGACUUCCUCGCGGAGCACAGGCCCUCCAAAUCAAAUCAGAAAUGUGAAUGGAACAUUUGACGUCUCUCCAGAGAGUGUGAAAUCAACGUUUUCUACACCUGACAGUGUUGGAAAUCUGUUUUCACUUACCGCUGCAAAAUCGUUAAUCCCAGUUGGGCAGUCAACUAUUCCGCCUAAUAUUGCAGUAAAGACAUCUGCUUCCCACACAUCAGUAAUUCAACAUGUUUCAGCUCAAAAGCAUCACAUAAGCAUUUCGACAUCAACAACAUCAGGAAACUCAGUCUCUCAGUCCAUAACUGUUGGAAAACAUCUACAGCGUGUAGGACCGGCGACACCUCUCUUUGACAUUGUUAAAGAGGACGUCAUGACCUCUGACAUCACUGAGGCAUUAAAGGGGAGCCACCUUGUUCCCCUCUUACCGCCUCGUCCGUAUAAUGACACAUCGACUAGUCCACCCACCGACAAUUACUCGCCCACAGGGCCACUUACCGCCAGCCUGGCUUUGCAUCAUCGCCAAGGGCAAUCUUCUACUGAGAUAAUGCCUUUCGGCGCUCCAUCUCAAAGCCAAUGGGACUCGUUUACAGAUUCGGAGGAGAAAGAGGAACGGCAUUCAAAUACCUCAAAUGCUUCUGCCGAUAACGAGCAAAUAAGCCCUUCAGAGGCUCCAAUAGUGCAUGAAGUGAAAAGUGAGCAUUCUGGGUUUAGCACAGGGGCGGUGCCGUUCGCUGCCGAUAGUUCAGCUGCCACCAGCCACAUUAACUUAACUCAAUCACGACCUGAUGAGACCAUGGGAUUGAGGGUCAAGGAACCCGCCCUGCCACGUGCACUACUGCAACAGACCACUAAUGGGGUCGGGAAUGACCAUGCUUUGUCUGGAGUAAGUCCAGCGCAUGAGUCUGGUAGAAAGAUCCUGGGGUCUGGGAGUGGGUCAGAUCCAUUGGCCUUGCACCAGAGAAUUGGGUUAUCAUCCCCUGAUCUCCUCACUGGAUUAGCGGUCAUUUCCGACGAUAUUUGUGCCACUGGAAACUACACGGCCGAGAUGAACUUGAACCUGGAACGCGACGUUCUGCCCGGAGACUUGGUCCCGGCUCUGGGGAUUCUCCAGGUGGUCAUCAACCUGAAAACCAACAACAGCCAGGUGAUCCUAGAGAUAAAGUCCUGCUGUCUCUCGCCCACUGUUCAGCUUGAUGACAUCAACAUAACCUGUUAUGUGUUUUCCAGGUUACCGCUGAACCCGCGAGGAAUCAGGCUGUUACCCAGCAUCCUGUCAAAGCGCGCCAGCUUCACCAUCAGUCUCUUCCAGAUGAUUAAUUACUCCAUGGCAUACCUACACUGCGAUCUGAGCAUCUGCCUCAGGAACCAUACCGAGUGUGAGAGGCAGUGUCUUCAGCACAGAGACCUCUUCUCUGAAGAGGGUCCAGAGGCUAUCACCAAUCUGAGGAACCGCAUAUCCUUUGGUCCCAUGUUGAAAGGAGCAGAGAAUUCUUCUCUCCCGGGGGAGAUGGAUACAGCAGCUGAGAUGGAGAUUAUGCUUGUCAUCCUUGGGAUGGUGGUGGGGUGUUCGCUGAUGACGGGGACCCUGCUGCUUCUCUGGAUGGCCUAUAGACGGCGGAGGGCCGAUUGGAUGGUUUACUCAGAGUCCAGAGCGUGCUGCGGCUGCCUGCGUAGAGGAGACAUGAUCCUACCAUAGCCAAGUAGGAGACAAUGGUCAAUCACGUCAGCCUGCAGACCAGACCAGACACUGACCAGAAUCAAUCCAAUUCACUCCUAUAAGUGAUUCCCGGGCAGAGCUUCUGUGGUCCCAAAUCUCACUCCCUUCACCGACGCAGUGAAUGCCUUACCUUUACACUGUAGUAAUAUGACACAGAAACACAUGUACAGAACAGAUUACCUGAUGGUCGAUUAUCUCGGUCAAUUUUUUUGCAUGGUAACAAUUGCUAAUUCACCAAACAACUGUGCACAGUGAAGAUGAAUUGACGAUCAAGAGUGUUUUAUGAUCAUGUGCAUUUUAACACGAUGUGCGUAUUGUGUAUACACCAUAUUAUUAUUUCUAGUCUAUUGUACUAAGUCCUCUAACCCUGCCACUAUCUGGAAGCAAAUUGUUUGUUAAAAAAAAGUUUAUCAUCCUCUCAAUGAUUCUCAAACAUCAUCUCAAGCAUGAAGCAUAUUAUCAUACCAAUUCUGGCCAAUUGCUUUUAAAAACAAUACAGAUCACGGGCUACUUUCACUAAGACACAAAUGACAGCGACAACUUAUUAACAGCUCUGUCUGCACUACUUCAUCAUGCACCAUAUUACCUCAACUGCUUGUCAACAGUUUGUUCCUGAUUUGCCACAAGCUCAAAUGAUUAAACAACUUCCACAAUGCUCAGAUGGAUGACUGGUCCUUUCAUACACAUGCAUGAAUAAAUGCUAAUGAAUAUCAUUGUAUGCAAAGCUCAUAU